rnacentral:rRNA from 1 species
GAUGAACGCUAGCGGCGGGCUUAAUACAUGCAAGUCAAGGGGCCAGCAAUGGCACCGGCGGACGGGUGAGUAACGCGUACACAACGUACCUUUAACUGGGGGAUAGCAUCUGGAAACGGGUGGUAAUACCGCAUGUGGUUGCGGGGAGGCAUCUCCUUGUAACUAAAAACUUUGGGUGGUUAGAGAUCGGGUGUGCGUCUGAUUAGCUAAGUUGGUAGGGUAGAGGCCCUACCAAGGCGACGAUCAGUAGGGGGCUGAGAGCGUGAACCCCCACACGGGUACUGAGACACGGACCCGACUCCUACGGGAGGCAGCAGUAAGGAAUA